rnacentral:rRNA from 1 species
UACAGAGGUCUCAAGCGUUGUUCGGAUUCCUUGGGCGUAAAGGGUGCGUAGGCGGCGCGGUAAGUCGGGUGUGAAAUCUCGGAGCUUAACUCCGAAACUGCAUUCGAUACUGCCGUGCUUGAGGACUGGAGAGGAGACUGGAAUUUACGGUGUAGCGGUGAAAUGCGUAGAUAUCGUAAGGAAGACCAGUGGCGAAGGCGAGUCUCUGGACAGUUCCUGACGCUGAGGCACGAAGGUCAGGGGAGCAAACGGG